GCAUAAGCCCACGGCUCGGCAUCGAGCAGAGGGAAAAGGAGCAAUCCGCUUUGAGAUGGCCUCGCGUCCGAUUAGCUAGUUGGUGAGGUAACGGCCCACCAAGGCGACGAUCGGUAGCCGGACUGAGAGGUUGAACGGCCACAUUGGGACUGAGACACGGCCCAGACUCCUACGGGAGGCAGCAGUGGGGAAUAUUGCACAAUGGGGGAAACCCUGAUGCAGCGACACCGCGUGGAGGAAGAAGGUCUUCGGAUUGUAAACUCCUGUUGUUGAGGAAGAUAAUGACGGUACUCAACAAGGAAGUGACGGCUAACUACGAGCCAGCAGCCGCGGUAAAACGUAGGUCACAAGCGUUGUCCGGAAUUACUGGGUGUAAAGGGAGCGCAGGCGGGAAGACAAGUUGGAAGUGAAAUCCAUGGGCUCAACCCAUGAACUGCUUUCAAAACUGUUUUUCUUGAGUAGUGCAGAGGUAGGCGGAAUUCCCGGUGUAGCGGUGGAAUGCGUAGAUAUCGGGAGGAACACCAGUGGCGAAGGCGGCCUACUGGGCACCAACUGACGCUGAGGCUCGAAAGUGUGGGUAGCAAACAGGAUUAGAUACCCUGGUAGUCCACACUGUAAACGAUGAUUACUAGGUGUUGGAGGAUUGACCCCUUCAGUGCCGCAGUUAACACAAUAAGUAAUCCACCUGGGGAGUACGACCGCAAGGUUGAAACUCAAAGGAAUUGACGGGGGCCCGCACAAGCAGUGGAGUAUGUGGUUUAAUUCGACGCAACGCGAAGAACCUUACCAAGUCUUGACAUCCCUUGACGAUGCUGGAAACAGUAUUUCUCUUCGGAGCAAGGAGACAGGUGGUGCAUGGUUGUCGUCAGCUCGUGUCGUGAGAUGUUGGGUUAAGUCCCGCAACGAGCGCAACCCUUAUGGUCAGUUACUACGCAAGAGGACUCUGGCCAGACUGCCGUUGACAAAACGGAGGAAGGUGGGGAUGACGUCAAAUCAUCAUGCCCUUUAUGACUUGGGCUACACACGUACUACAAUGGCGUUAAACAAAGAGAAGCAAGACCGCGAGGUGGAGCAAAACUCAGAAACAACGUCCCAGUUCGGACUGCAGGCUGCAACUCGCCUGCACGAAGUCGGAAUUGCUAGUAAUCGCAGAUCAGCAUGCUGCGGUGAAUACGUUCCCGGGCCUUGUACACACCGCCCGUCACACCAUGAGAGCCGGGGGGACCCGAAGUCGGUAGUCUAACCGCAAGAGGACGCCGACGAAGGUAAAACUGGUGAUUGGGGUGAAGUCGUAACAAGGUA
rnacentral:rRNA from 1 species